GGCAAUACUGGCAUUAUUGUCAUAGUUAUUGUGUCAUAGAAAAAUUUGUGUCGCAGUCCUAGAAAGAUCCAGAGCAAACGGCACGAAUUUCCAACUUUUGAGAUUUUAAAUAUUAUACUUCGAAUUUGCGAAGUGAUUUUUCAGUUUAACGAAAUAUUAAAUAUAUGCUUUAUAUGUCAGCAUGUCCGACGUACAAAGUAAAGCACAAGUAUUGAACUUAAAACAACUCAACGCCAACGAUUUCAAACGUAUUAUCGCUCUUCAACGCCGAGAAAUUCUGGGCAAAAGUGAACGGCUUAGAGGAGUGGAGGACUUGACAAGAAUAUGCAGUGAAUUGGAAGAAAAACGGCAGAGUUGGCAGACAAAGGCAAACAAUAAUGAAAAUGCUUUAAGACAAGCGGAAGCAACGAUUGCAAAUUUGAAGAAGAAGCUUGGAAUUGGCUCUCAAACGACUUUUGGUAUUGAUGUAGUCAAUCCUGAGAUUUCAAGAAAAGAUUUCAACGCAGUUACCAAAGAGAAUAUCAGGUUAAAAGAAGCGCUGGAACAUAUUGUACCGACCGAAUUGGGCGGCAAAGAUGUGGUCAUU